rnacentral:rRNA from 1 species
UGGGGAAUUUUGCACAAUGGGGGAAACCCUGAUGCAGCGACGCCGCGUGAUUUAGAAGGCCUUCGGGUUGUAAAAAUCUUUUUUACGGGAUGAAAAUGACAGUACCGUAAGAAUAAGGUCCGGCUAAAUACGUGCCAGCAGCCGCGGUAAUACGUAUGGACCGAGCGUUGUCCGGAAUCAUUGGGCGUAAAGGGUACGUAGGCGGCCUAGUAAGUUAGAAGUGAAAUAAUAUAGCUCAACUAUAUAAAGCUUCUAAAACUGCUAGGCUUGAGAGAUGGAAGGGAAAGUGGAAUUCCUAGUGUAGCGGUGAAAUGCGCAGAUAUUAGGAAGAAUACCGGUGGCGAAGGCGACUUUCUGGUCAUCAUCUGACGCUGAGGUACGAAAGCGUGGGUAGCAAACAGG